AUUGAACGCUGGCGGCAGGCCUAACACAUGCAAGUCGAGCGGGGUUUUCGGACCUAGCGGCGGACGGGUGAGUAAUGCGUAGGAAGCUGCCCGAUAGAGGGGGAUACCAGUUGGAAACGACUGUUAAUACCGCAUAAUGUCUACGGACCAAAGUGUGGGACCUUCGGGCCACAUGCUAUCGGAUGCGCCUACGUGGGGUUAGCUAGUUGGUGAGGUAAUGGCUCACCAAGGCGAUGAUCUCUAGCUGGUUUGAGAGGAUGAUCAGCCACACUGGAACUGAGACACGGUCCAGACUCCUACGGGAGGCAGCAGUGGGGAAUAUUGGACAAUGGGCGCAAGCCUGAUCCAGCCAUGCCGCGUGUGUGAAGAAGGCCUUCGGGUUGUAAAGCACUUUCAGCGAGGAGGAAGGGUUGUGUGUUAAUAGUACACAGCUUUGACGUUACUCGCAGAAGAAGCACCGGCUAACUCUGUGCCAGCAGCCGCCGCCGUAA
rnacentral:rRNA from 1 species